CAACCAGCUUAGCGCUGGUUGUGAAGGUUAGCUCCUGGGCUAAGUUGAGGCUAGCCUAAAAAGUUUAGUUUUAUAGUAGAAAAUGGUUAAACAAACGAUACAGAUAUUCGGUCGAAUUAAGCCCACGAAUAAAACUGCGGCGGUGUACUCUGUGAACCACGAGGAGGAAACAGGUGGCUCUCUGGAGUUUUUGGUGCCCAGGGACCUGGCUGAUGGCAUUGUUAACCACAAGAGGGAAAACUACAAGUUCAGGUUCCGAAAAGUGUUUGAGCAGCACAUUAAACAAGAUGUGAUAUUUGAAGACAUCGCCAAACCAGUUGCAGAAAGUGUACUGGCUGGCUACAAUGGCACCAUAUUUGCUUAUGGUCAGACGGGAAGUGGGAAAACAUUCACCAUCACUGGAGGAGCUGAGCGCUAUGUAGAUCGUGGUAUUAUACCUCGCACCCUGUCCUACCUGUACGAACGCUUCAACCAGGAGGGCAGUAUGAUGUACACCAUGCACAUCUCCUACCUGGAAAUUUACAACGAGGUGGGAUAUGACCUUCUGGAUUCCCGAUAUGAGGCAUCGCGACUGGAGGACCUACCGAAAGUGAUGAUCUUGGAAGAUACAGAACAGAACAUCCAUCUCAAGAAUUUGUCUGUGCGGCAGUCUGGUAACGAAGAGGAGGCUCUGAAUCUGCUCUUCCUGGGUGACACCAAUCGUAUGAUUGCUGAAACCCCCAUGAACCAGGCCUCCACUCGUUCGCACUGUGUUUUCACCAUACAUCUGUGCAGGCGUGAACCCGGCUCAGCUACCCUGCGCCGGUCCAAACUGCACUUGGUGGACCUGGCCGGGUCAGAUCGAGUCAGUAAGACGGGCCUGGAUGGGCAGCUACUCACUGAGGCCAAGUACAUCAACCUGUCGCUCCACUAUCUAGAGCAGGUGAUAAUAGCCUUGUCAGAGAAGAAUCGUUCCCAUAUUCCAUAUAGAAACUCCAUGUUAACAUCAGUCCUGAGGGACAGCCUGGGGGGGAACUGCAUGACCACCAUGAUCGCCACUAUGGCGGUCGACAAACGGAAUCUAGAUGAGUCAAUCUCUACUUGCCGCUUUGCUCAGCGUGUGGCUCUCAUCAAGAACGAGGCCAUAUUGAACGAAGAAUUGGAUCCUGCACUGCUCAUUGCACGUUUGAGAAGAGAGAUCCAGUUCCUGAAUGAAGAGCUGGCAAUUGUGACAGGAGAGCAGAGACAGGAGCAGCUAACUGCAGAGGAGAUACAAAAGUUGGGCGAGUUAGUCAAAGCCUUUCUGAAUGAUCCAGAUCCAGAUGUGACUCUCUCUCUGGGACCUGACAUGAGAAAGAUACAGCACUGUUUCUUUCUGAUGAAGUCAGUGAUUUUGGACAAAAAAGGUGCCAAAACUGGACGCAGUGAUCAACAACCGCUACCAACAGGAAGUCGAGAGAACUCCCAAAUCAGCAAUUCCAGUUCAACAGCAGAACUGACCAAACUGAAUGAAAUGCUUAAACAACGUGACAAUGAGAUCAGUAUCCUUGUGAGAAUACUGAAGAAAGAAAAGGAAAGAGCAGAUGAUGCCAUCGCACGGCUUGCUUACAUUACUGAUGCCAAAGUGCUGUCCUCGUUGAAGUCCUCGAGCACGCAGCCUGUUUCACAGCCUAAAGAAACAAAUAUGGAGACAUUUUUCAAAAACUAUGGAGGAAAAGGAUUCACAAGGCUUCACUUGAGGAAAGGAAAUAAAACUUCAUCAGCAGACUAUAGUGAAAGAAUGUUUAGAAUGCCACAGUUUAGCAUACGAAAGGCUGACAUCUCUGCCACAGGCCAUGCGCCUCAACCAUAUCCAGUGCUUCAGAAUAAUGAAGGGGAUAAUAAGACCUUUACAGAGGAUCAUGGUGGGAAGGUUUCCACAGUGCCACAGUUGGAGGAGCAACACGUGGACACAUUACCAAUGGACCAAAGAGAAGAAGUGUGCACAGGCUCUUGGUUUAGCGAAGGAAACCUGAACAGCUUUGGAGGUGACCAGGAAGGCCAAGCAUCAACAGCAGUUCAGUUGAAAGUGGAAAACAUGGUAACUCUGCUGUCAGAGGACCACAAAGUGUCCACAAUGCCACAGUUUAGAGGAGAAAACACGGAAACGGUUCCAGCGGGACGAGGACGAGCUGGGCAGUAUAUGAAAAGAGGUUCAAAGUUGUCAAUGGGAAAACAGGAAGCAUUUGAGAUUUUCAUAAGAGAUCACGAGGAACAUCAAACCAUUGAAGAGAAUUCGAAUAUACUCAAAGAAAGGUCAGAUGAGGCCAGAAGACUUGGAGAACAACUAAAGGGAGCCAGAAACAGAAUCACUGAAUUGAAGAAGCAAUUGGAGACGCGGAGGAGACAAAGGGCAGCUCAGGCUGUGACAGGGAACGAUACGCAGGACGGGGAGGAGAACGACCCCCUGGAAGAAAGCCUCUGCAAACAAAUUAAGCAAGAGAAAGUAACCUACAACAGCAACCUUGGCCGCCUAAAGGCUCUGAGGACAGAGAUCGAGCAUCUGCAGCUGUUGAUGGACAGGGUGAAGGUCAAGAUCCAGAAGGAUUUCCUGAAGUGGUGGAGUCAGGAGGCUUUGAAUCUGCAGGAGUCUGAGUCGGAAACUGAAGCGAAAUAUGGCUCUACAUCUCAAAAUGAAACCUUGCAACCAUCUUCACCUGGCACUCCAGGAUUUUGCUCUCCUGAGCUAAGCAGCACAAUGAAGGAGUCUCCGUCAAAGCAGGACACAAAUCCGGACCAUUCGGUCUCUUCUGCUCCUGAACUGAGCUGUCUUGAACCCAUAGACAAACUUCCAGCCCCAGUUUGGUCAGCCUGGAACAAGUCCCAAGAGGAGAGUAAGAAUUCAUACUGGAGGGACCUUUCCACAACAACCCUCACGUCUUCUUCCAUUCCACUGACUGGAGAUCAGGAAGUUGAUUCUGACAUCCUGGCCUUUGUUAUGGCCCGGAAAAAUCUCCUCAGCAGGAUAGCUAUUCAGAGAAGCUGAGGUCCUAGGCUACUUGAGCUACUAGACUACUUUUUUUUUUUUUUACAAUACAGAAAAAAACAGUCUAAAUGAGGCCCUGGUAAAGAUGUGAAGUGAAGUUCUAACGAGGAGCCAUAUCAUCACUUCCAGUCAAAACGAAUGGUCUGGGAAUUUGUAUUGCCACAGUCCACUCAUGCUUUCUCCUUCUGGACAGCAGCAUAAACCACAGACUGUGUCUAAUGUUUGAUCUAAACCCUUUUACUAAUAAAACAACAGAAAAAAGACAGAAGAAUAACCAGAAAAGAGCCGCAGUAUUUGUUGAAAUCUUGUGAAACGUUUUAAUUGGUGACAUGAUGUUUCAACAUUUAGAAAGAAGUGCUUUUUUAUAUAUUUCCAGCUGAGUUUGCUCUAUUAAUUUUUAUGUAAAUUAAUAUAAAACUAUGGGAUGUAGUGUGAAUAAUAAAGCUUUUCAUUGCUUUUCCCAAACAAUUAAGGCAAAAGUAGUGCAACUG